UGGGGAAUUUUGGACAAUGGGCGAAAGCCUGAUCCAGCAAUGCCGCGUGUGUGAAGAAGGCCUUCGGGUUGUAAAGCACUUUUGUCCGGAAAGAAAUCCUUGGCUCUAAUACAGUCGGGGGGAUGACGGUACCGGAAGAAUAAGCACCGGCUAACUACGUGCCAGCAGCCGCGGUAAUACGUAGGGUGCAAGCGUUAAUCGGAAUUACUGGGCGUAAGCGUGCGCAGGCGGUUUGCUAAGACCGAUGUGAAAUCCCCGGGCUCAACCUGGGGAACUGCAUUGGUGACUGGCAGGCUAGAGUAUGGCAGAGGGGGGUAGAAUUCCACGUGUAGCAGUGAAAUGCGUAGAGAUGUGGAGGAAUACCGAUGGCGAAGGCAGCCCCCUGGGCCAAUACUGACGCUCAUGCACGAAAGCGUGGGGAGCAAACAGGAUUNGAUACCCUGGUAGUCCACGCCCUAAACGAUGUCAACUAGUU
rnacentral:rRNA from 1 species